AACGAACGCUGGCGGCAUGCCUAACACAUGCAAGUCGAACGAGACCUUCGGGUCUAGUGGCGCACGGGUGCGUAACGCGAGGGAAUCUGCCCUUGGGUUCGGAAUAACAGUUAGAAAUGACUGCUAAUACCGGAUGAUGUCGUAAGACCAAAGAUUUAUCGCCCAAGGAUGAGCCCGCGUAGGAUUAGGUAGUUGGUGGGGUAAAGGCCUACCAAGGCGACGAUCCUUAGCUGGUCUGAGAGGAUGAUCAGCCACACUGGGACUGAGACACGGCCCAGACUCCUACGGGAGGCAGCAGUGGGGAAUAUUGGACAAUGGGCGAAAGCCUGAUCCAGCAAUGCCGAGUGAGUGAUGAAGGCCCUAGGGUUGUAAAGCUCUUUCACCCGGGAUGAUAAUGACAGUACCGGGAGAAGAAGCCCCGGCUAACUCCGUGCCAGCAGCCGCCGUAACAC
rnacentral:rRNA from 1 species